GGGGGCAUAGCUCAGUUGGGAGAGCAACAGACUGAAGUUACUCCAUCUGGAGAGUCUUCUGGAGGUCCCGCGUUCAAUCCGCGGUGCCCCCA